GUGAAACUGCGAAUGGCUCAUUAAAUCAGUUAUCGUUUAUUUGAUAGUACCUUACUACUUGGAUAACCGUGGUAAUUCUAGAGCUAAUACAUGCUAAAAACCCCGACUUCGGAAGGGGUGUAUUUAUUAGAUAAAAAACCAAUGCCCUUCGGGGCUCUUUGGUGAUUCAUAAUAACUUAACGAAUCGCAUGGCCUUGUGCCGGCGAUGGUUCAUUCAAAAUUUCUGGCCCUAUCAAACUUUCGAUGGUAGGGAUAGUGGCCUACCAUGGUUUCAACGGGGUAACGGGGAAUUAGGGUUCUAUUCCGGAGAGGGAGCCUGAGAAAACGGCUACCACAUCCAAGGAAGGCAGCAGGCGCGCAAAUUACCCAAUCCCGACACGGGGGAGGUAGUGACAAUAAAUACUGAUACAGGGCUCUUUUGGGUCUUGUAAUUGGAAUGAGUACAAUUUAAAUCCCUUAACGAGGAACAAUUGGAGGGCAAGUCUGGUGGACUGCACGUCCCGCUAGUGGUCUCCCACUAGCCUGUGCUGCUGACGCCAGAGAGAGCAAGCCUAGGGUGAUGCCUGGCUACUAGUCGACUGUACGCUUAGUUUGGGAGUACAGCGGCAAGACAACCUGGAUCGGGGGAAGCUAAGGGGCUCACGCCCUAUGCCAACACCGAGCCGAGCUUGCAGCGAUGCAAGCCGGUGUAGAGCGCGCCAAGGUGUCGGCUGUCUGCUAUGGGCAGACAGCUUAAGGUACGUGCCGGCCCAUGCGAAAGCAUGCUGUGAUCACUAGCUCCCACAAGCGAAGGGUUACGGGCAUUACUUGUGCUGUAAUGCGGGUUUUGAACUAGUUCAAAUAAUAACGGCCAGCAGCCGCGGUAAUUCCAGCUCCAAUAGCGUAUAUUAAAGUUGUUGCAGUUAAAAAGCUCGUAGUUGAACCUUGGGCCUGGCUGGCCGGUCCGCCUCACCGCGUGCACUGGUCCGGCCGGGCCUUUCCUUCUGGGGAGCCGCAUGCCCUUCACUGGGUGUGUCGGGGAACCAGGACUUUUACUUUGAAAAAAUUAGAGUGUUCAAAGCAGGCCUAUGCUCGAAUACAUUAGC
rnacentral:rRNA from 1 species